rnacentral:rRNA from 1 species
CCUGCGGAAGGAUCAUUACAAGUGAGGCUACCGAACGUUGGAAACAGCGGUUAGGAGCUUACACCCACCCGUGUUUACAUACUAUUGUUGCUUUGGCGGGCCGUGGCCUCCACUACGGGCUCUGCUCGUGUGUGCCCGCCAGAGGACCAAACUCUGAAUGUUAGUGAUGUCUGAGUACUAUCUAAUAGUUAAAACUUUCAACAACGGAUCUCUUGGUUCUGGCAUCGAUGAAGAACGCAGCGAAAUGCGAUAAGUAAUGUGAAUUGCAGAAUUCAGUGAAUCAUCGAAUCUUUGAACGCACAUUGCGCCCUGUGGUAUUCCGCAGGGCAUGCCUGUUCGAGCGUCAUUUAACCACUCACGCCUAGCGUGGUAUUGGGGCACGCGGUCUCGCGGCCCUCAAAAUUAGUGGCGGCGCCGGUGGGCUCUAAGCGUAGUACAUACUCCCGCUAUAGAGUUCCCCCGGUGGCUCGCCAGAACCCCCAAUUUUUUACAGGUUGACCUCGGAUCAGGUAGGGAUACCCGCUGAACUUAAGCAUAUCAAAA